AUUGAACGCUGGCGGCAUGCCUUACACAUGCAAGUCGAACGGCAGCACGGGAGCAAUCCUGGUGGCGAGUGGCGAACGGGUGAGUAAAGUAUCGGAACGUGCCCAGUCGUGGGGGAUAACGUAGCGAAAGUUACGCUAAUACCGCAUACGAUCUAUGGAUGAAAGCGGGGGAUCGCAAGACGUCGCGCGAUUGGAGCGGCCGAUGGCUGAUUAGGUUGUUGGUAGGGUAAAGGCCUACCAAGCCGACGAUCUGUAGCUGGUUUGAGAGGAUGAUCAGCCACACUGGGACUGAGACACGGCCCAGACUCCUACGGGAGGAAGCAGUGGGGAAUUUUCGACAAUGGGCGCAAGCCUGAUCCAGCCAUUCCGCGUGCAGGAUGAAGGCCUUCGGGUUGUAACCUGCUUUUGUACAGAACGAAAAGGCUCUGGUUAAUACCCGGGGAACAUGACGGUACUGUAAGAAUAAGCACCGGCUAACUACGUGCCAGCCGCCGCAGUAA
rnacentral:rRNA from 1 species